GAUGAACGCUAGCUACAGGCUUAACACAUGCAAGUCGCGGGGCAGCAUAGGGUUCUGGCAACAGAAUUCGGAUGGCGACCGGCGCACGGGUGAGUAACACGUAUCCGACCUGCCUUAUACUCGGGGAUAGCCUUGCGAAAGUAAGAUUAAUACCCGAUGGCAUCGUUUGGCUGCAUGGCCUUACGAUUAAAGGUGCGAACUGGUAUAAGAUGGGGAUGCGUUCCAUUAGGUAGUAGGCGGGGUAACGGCCCACCUAGCCGACGAUGGAUAGGGGUUCUGAGAGGAAGGUCCCCCACAUUGGAACUGAGACACGGUCCAAACUCCUACGGGAGGCAGCAGUGAGGAAUAUUGGUCAAUGGACGAGAGUCUGAACCAGCCAAGUAGCGUGAAGGAAGACUGCCCUAUGGGUUGUAAACUUCUUUUAUACGGGAAUAAAGUCGCCUACGUGUAGGCGUUUGUAUGUACCUUAUGAAUAAGCAUCGGCUAACUCCGUGCCAGCCGCCGCUGUAACAC
rnacentral:rRNA from 1 species